GGAAUGAUGGAAAUUUAAACCCUUUUUAAAGUAUCAAUUGGAGGGCAAGUCUGGUGCCAGCAGCCGCGGUAAUUCCAGCUCCAAUAGCGUAUAUUAAAAUUGUUGCAGUUAAAAAGCUCGUAGUUGAAGUUCUGCUAAAAGUAACCGGUCUGCUUUUAAUAAAGGUGGUAUCUUGGUGUGUAUUUAGCAAUGAUGUCCUUUGAAGUGUUUUUUACUUUAUUGUAAUAAAGCAUAUUCAGGACUUUUACUUUGAGAAAAUUAGAGUGUUUCUAGCAGGCUAACGCUUUGAAUACUKCAGCAUGGAAUAAUAAGAUAGGAUUUUASUUCUACAUUAUUGGUUUUAAGAGCUAAAUUAAUGAUUGAUAGGGACAGUUGGGGGCAUUUGUAUUUAACUGUCAGAGGUGAAAUUCUUAGAUUUGUUAAAGACAAACUACUGCGAAAGCAUUUGCCAAAGAUGUUUUCAUUAAUCAAGAACGAAAGUUAGGGGAUCGAAGACGAUCAGAUACCGUCGUAGUCCU
rnacentral:rRNA from 1 species